ensembl:lncRNA
ACAAUACUGACACUAUGCUGCCUUCACUGUAGAGAGAAAAAAAAAAAGCCAAUUUUUGAAAUUAAUUUGGGUGAAUUUAUCGAAGGCCAUUGACAGUUUUUGUAUGUUCCUGUAUAUCAAUUCCAUCUUUAAAUUUUAUCAUAAUCCAACAAUUCCAGUUACAUUUAACUCCUGCUAAGGAGUUCAAAUUAAAGUGCUUUCUUAUCCAAGUAGAGGUCAAUGAAAAUAUAUAUAAAAUCAUUUUCAUUUUCAUUAGGGAGGAAGAGCUGUGGUACUGGUUAAAAAAGUGAGUAAAUGCAUUUACAGCAAUACAUUUCUAGUAACCACAGAAAUGUAUUGUCUGUGUGAAUUAAAACUUGACAGAUUGACAAUUUAUCUGACAAAUGUUAUAAUAGUUACUUCCAUUCUGUCUUGUCCUGAUUUGAAUUUUCUGUUCACUUCUAACAAUUUUAACAGGUUUUUCCCAUGACUAUUUAACAUUAGAUUGCUCUAUUAGUAACUGAUUCAUGCACUUUGACCUUCUCUGUGGUAAUUUUUUUUAACUUAGCCUGCUUAGACUUAGCAAGAUGACUGCUGUCAGAGGACAGAGGGAGAAAGCCUAAGCCAACUGAGUGCCUAUCAUAACUGAACUCAUAACCUAAUAUCUCAUGAAAUAGGGACUUUGGCAGGUUUCAGUAGCAUAGCAUGAAAAAGUAGCAUUGAGCCAAAAAUAAGCAAAUAGCAAACCCCUGUUCUAUUUGGAAAGGAAAUGGUGGGUUUUGUCCCUAACUACUCUUAUCUUGAAACAACGACAAAAAACAUUUUUUAACUUGUAUAUCUGUAUUCUAAAACACUGCCAUCAUAAAGCAGACAUGUGAGUGAAAGGGUUGCCUCAUCCAGAAGUCAUUAGUGUGAAGGGAGAGAUUGGGCUCCCCCCCAGUCCUAUCUUUAUUUUGAUUUUAUUCUACAUAGUCUAGGAAAUGUACUAUGGUCUCUAAAAGCCCUAGUUUUCAAAGUGACUCUGCCUUUUUGUUGGUAGGCGGCAAAAAACACUAUUGCUUUGUCUUACAGAGCGAAUGUCUGCCAACUACCCAUUCAUUAUAUGUCUGAACUUUGGUAAUAUAUGGCUGUGGAGAUUAAACCUUCUAUAAAGACUUCCUAUUGAGGUGAAUGCUCAUAUUGAAAUGUAGUUACCUACAAUAUUUACUAGAGAUUUAUGAGAUUAAAUUAAGAGAUAAUGUAAGAAAGUAGACUUUUUUGUUCUACAUGCUUGAUGAUUCAUUUAGGGACCUAGAAAUAUUGUGCAAAAAUGUAUAAAUAGCAUCCAAAAGGCUUUCUGCCCUAUAUUUUUAAAACACAGAAUAGUUAUAUAUGAAGUAGUCCUGGCCCUAGUUCUAUAGGGCUCGGCUACUAAUAUUUUUAUGGAAGAAAUGUUUAGUUCUGGAAAAGGUAAAUGCUUGUAUAUAUUUUUGCAGCCUGGGAUCUCCCUUACUCCAUUUCUUCCUUUAAUUUAAAUGGCCACAUGUAUAUGUCUUUCCCUGCUGUGUUAGGAAAAUGGGGGCUGGAUAUCCCAAGAAUCAGAGGUUAUAUAAAAAUACUGCAGAUAGACAGCAGACAUAAAUAUCUACCAAAUGCUAUCUUAAAUUUUGGUCCAAACUGAUCAUUUGGAAAUAGACUUAUUGUAAGUGUUUAAUUAGAGCAAUUUCUUAAAUCUGAACUAAAUUGCUUUU